rnacentral:rRNA from 1 species
GACAGAGGGUGCAAACGUUGUUCGGAAUUACUGGGCGUAAAGCGCGUGUAGGCUGCUUCGCAAGUCGGGUGUGAAAUCCCUCGGCUCAACCAAGGAAGUGCAUCCGAAACUGCUGAGCUUGAGUACUUAAGAGGAUCGCGGAAUUCCCGGUGUAGAGGUGAAAUGCGUAGAUAUCGGAAGGAACACCUGUGGCGAAAGCGGCUCACUGGACCAUUACUGACGCUGAUGCACGAAAGCUAGGGGAGCAAACAGG